AACGCACAUUGCGCCCCCCGUAACUGAGGGGCAUGCCCGUCUGAGCGUCAUACGAACCCAUCGGACCGAGCCGUCCCGUGUCGGGCGUCGCCUCUGGGCGUCGCCUCGGAUCCAUCGGUCUAGAGAGCGGACGAGAUCCUUUAGGACUGGCCGUUCCCGACCCUAAAACACAUCCAGAAUCGACCUCAGAUCGGGUAGGACCACCGCCUGAACUUAA
rnacentral:misc_RNA from 1 species